rnacentral:tRNA from 1 species
ACGGGUAUGAUGUAGGGGUAACAUAUCAGCCUUCCAAGCUGAAUAGGAGGGUUCGAUUCCCUCUAUCCGUA